rnacentral:rRNA from 1 species
GGUUAAGCGACUAAGCGUACACGGUGGAUGCCCUGGCAGUCAGAGGCGAUGAAGGACGUGCUAAUCUGCGAUAAGCGUCGGUAAGGUGAUAUGAACCGUUAUAACCGGCGAUUUCCGAAUGGGGAAACCCAGUGUGAUUCGUCACACUAUCAUUAACUGAAUCCAUAGGUUAAUGAGGCGAACCGGGGGAACUGAAACAUCUAAGUACCCCGAGGAAAAGAAAUCAACCGAGAUUCCCCCAGUAGCGGCGAGCGAACGGGGAGCAGCCCAGAGCCUGAAUCAGUGUGUGUGUUAGUGGAAGCGUCUGGAAAGGCGUGCGAUACAGGGUGACAGCCCCGUACACAAAAAUGCACAUACUGUGAGCUCGAUGAGUAGGGCGGGACACGUGGUAUCCUGUCUGAAUAUGGGGGGACCAUCCUCCAAGGCUAAAUACUCCUGACUGACCGAUAGUGAACCAGUACCGUGAGGGAAAGGCGAAAAGAACCCCGGCGAGGGGAGUGAAAAAGAACCUGAAACCGUGUACGUACAAGCAGUGGGAGCACGCUUAGGCGUGUGACUGCGUACCUUUUGUAUAAUGGGUCAGCGACUUAUAUUCUGUAGCAAGGUUAACCGAAUAGGGGAGCCGAAGGGAAACCGAGUCUUAACUGGGCGUUAAGUUGCAGGGUAUAGACCCGAAACCCGGUGAUCUAGCCAUGGGCAGGUUGAAGGUUGGGUAACACUAACUGGAGGACCGAACCGACUAAUGUUGAAAAAUUAGCGGAUGACUUGUGGCUGGGGGUGAAAGGCCAAUCAAACCGGGAGAUAGCUGGUUCUCCCCGAAAGCUAUUUAGGUAGCGCCUCGUGAAUUCAUCUCCGGGGGUAGAGCACUGUUUCGGCAAGGGGGUCAUCCCGACUUACCAACCCGAUGCAAACUGCGAAUACCGGAGAAUGUUAUCACGGGAGACACACGGCGGGUGCUAACGUCCGUCGUGAAGAGGGAAACAACCCAGACCGCCAGCUAAGGUCCCAAAGUCAUGGUUAAGUGGGAAACGAUGUGGGAAGGCCCAGACAGCCAGGAUGUUGGCUUAGAAGCAGCCAUCAUUUAAAGAAAGCGUAAUAGCUCACUGGUCGAGUCGGCCUGCGCGGAAGAUGUAACGGGGCUAAACCAUGCACCGAAGCUGCGGCAGCGACGCUUAUGCGUUGUUGGGUAGGGGAGCGUUCUGUAAGCCUGUGAAGGUGUGCUGUGAGGUAUGCUGGAGGUAUCAGAAGUGCGAAUGCUGACAUAAGUAACGAUAAAGCGGGUGAAAAGCCCGCUCGCCGGAAGACCAAGGGUUCCUGUCCAACGUUAAUCGGGGCAGGGUGAGUCGACCCCUAAGGCGAGGCCGAAAGGCGUAGUCGAUGGGAAACAGGUUAAUAUUCCUGUACUUGGUGUUACUGCGAAGGGGGGACGGAGAAGGCUAUGUUGGCCGGGCGACGGUUGUCCCGGUUUAAGCGUGUAGGCUGGUUUUCCAGGCAAAUCCGGAAAAUCAAGGCCGAGGCGUGAUGACGAGGCACUACGGUGCUGAAGCAACAAAUGCCCUGCUUCCAGGAAAAGCCUCUAAGCAUCAGGUAACAUCAAAUCGUACCCCAAACCGACACAGGUGGUCAGGUAGAGAAUACCAAGGCGCUUGAGAGAACUCGGGUGAAGGAACUAGGCAAAAUGGUGCCGUAACUUCGGGAGAAGGCACGCUGAUACGUAGGUGAAGCGACUUGCUCGUGGAGCUGAAAUCAGUCGAAGAUACCAGCUGGCUGCAACUGUUUAUUAAAAACACAGCACUGUGCAAACACGAAAGUGGACGUAUACGGUGUGACGCCUGCCCGGUGCCGGAAGGUUAAUUGAUGGGGUUAGCGCAAGCGAAGCUCUUGAUCGAAGCCCCGGUAAACGGCGGCCGUAACUAUAACGGUCCUAAGGUAGCGAAAUUCCUUGUCGGGUAAGUUCCGACCUGCACGAAUGGCGUAAUGAUGGCCAGGCUGUCUCCACCCGAGACUCAGUGAAAUUGAACUCGCUGUGAAGAUGCAGUGUACCCGCGGCAAGACGGAAAGACCCCGUGAACCUUUACUAUAGCUUGACACUGAACAUUGAGCCUUGAUGUGUAGGAUAGGUGGGAGGCUUUGAAGUGUGGACGCCAGUCUGCAUGGAGCCGACCUUGAAAUACCACCCUUUAAUGUUUGAUGUUCUAACGUGGACCCGUGAUCCGGGUUGCGGACAGUGUCUGGUGGGUAGUUUGACUGGGGCGGUCUCCUCCUAAAGAGUAACGGAGGAGCACGAAGGUUGGCUAAUCCUGGUCGGACAUCAGGAGGUUAGUGCAAUGGCAUAAGCCAGCUUGACUGCGAGCGUGACGGCGCGAGCAGGUGCGAAAGCAGGUCAUAGUGAUCCGGUGGUUCUGAAUGGAAGGGCCAUCGCUCAACGGAUAAAAGGUACUCCGGGGAUAACAGGCUGAUACCGCCCAAGAGUUCAUAUCGACGGCGGUGUUUGGCACCUCGAUGUCGGCUCAUCACAUCCUGGGGCUGAAGUAGGUCCCAAGGGUAUGGCUGUUCGCCAUUUAAAGUGGUACGCGAGCUGGGUUUAGAACGUCGUGAGACAGUUCGGUCCCUAUCUGCCGUGGGCGCUGGAGAACUGAGGGGGGCUGCUCCUAGUACGAGAGGACCGGAGUGGACGCAUCACUGGUGUUCGGGUUGUCAUGCCAAUGGCACUGCCCGGUAGCUAAAUGCGGAAGAGAUAAGUGCUGAAAGCAUCUAAGCACGAAACUUGCCCCGAGAUGAGUUCUCCCUG